UGGCUUAGACGGUAAAGCAUCUGCCCGCAAGGCAGGAGACCUGGGUUUAAUCCCAG
rnacentral:tRNA from 1 species